rnacentral:rRNA from 1 species
AUGGCGCAAAAGCAGAUAUGGUCCGGUAUUCCCUUGUUCCCCGUAUUGGUUAUGUUCCUUAUUCCUCGUCUAGCAGAAACUAAUCGAGCUCCGUCUGAUCUCCCAGAAGCGGAAGCUGAAUUAGCUGCAGGCUAUAAUGUAGAAUAUGCGCGGGAUGCGAUCCUUAAUAGUUCACUGUUGGCGGAAGCCAAUGUCUCGGGGACUCAUUCUGACUUAAACAAGGGGUGGGUCUUUACCAACUUCCAAAUCCAAGAUUUAGGGGAAAAAAGAGGGGCAGGGCACUCUUCAUUCUUCAUUCGAAACUCAUGA